UGAACGCUGGCGGUAUGCCUAACACAUACAAGUCGUACGAGAGUUUUUAACUCUAGUGGCGGACGGGUGAGUAACACGUGAGAAUUUGCCUUUAGGAGGGGGAUAACAAUUGGAAACGAAUGCUAAUACCCCAUAUGCUUUCGAGUGAAAUGGAUUUAUAUUUAUUCGCCUAAAGAGAAGCUCGCGGCUGAUUAGCUUGUUGGUAAGGUAAGAGCUUACCAAGGCGACGAUCAGUAUCUGGUUUGAGAGGACGAUCAGACACACUGGAACUGAGACACGGUCCAGACUCCUACGGGAGGCAGCAGUGGGGAAUUUUCCGCAAUGGGCGAAAGCCUGACGGAGCAAUACCGCGUGAGGGAAGACUGCCUAUGGGUUGUAAACCUCUUUUUUCAGGGAGGAAUAAAAUGACGUGUACCUGAAGAAUAAGCAUCGGCUAACUCC
rnacentral:rRNA from 1 species